rnacentral:rRNA from 1 species
AAACUGAAGGGUUUGAUACUGGCUCAGAACGUACGCUGACGGAAUGGAUUAGGCAUGCAAGUCGAACGAGCGAACUCUUCGGAGUGAGCUAGUGGCGAACGGGUGAGUAAUGCGUGGAUGACCUGCCCUGAUGAGGGGGRCAACCAUUCGAAAGGAUGGCUAAUACCGCAUACGGUCGCCAGGUUUUCCUGGUGAUCAAAGCUGGCUUAGGCUUCGGCUUAGGCAGGCGCUUCAGGAGGGGUUCACGUGCUAUUAGUUUGUUGGUGGGGUAACGGCCUACCAAGACUAUGAUGGCUAGCCGGCCUGAGAGGGUGUCCGGCCACACUGGGACUGAGACACUGCCCAGACUCCUACGGGAGGCUGCAGUCGAGAAUCUUCCACUAAUGCGCGAAAGCGUGAUGGAGCAAUUCCGUGUGAGCGAUGAAGGCCUUAGGGUUGUAAAGCUCUGUUGGAGGGGCGUAAUCCCUGGGAGAGAAUAUCUUUCCAGGUUGAACUCCCCUCGGAGGAAGCAGCGGCUAAAUUCGUGCCAGCAGCCGCGGUAAUACGAAUGCUGCAAGCGUAGUUCGGAAUCACUGGGCAUAAAGGGCACGUAGGCGGCCUGUUAAGUCUGCUGUGAAAUCCCUCGGCUCAACCGAGGAACUGCAGCUGAUACUGACUGGCUUGAGUACGGGAGGGGAGAGCGGAAUUCCUGGUGGAGCGGUGAUAUGCGUAGAUAUCAGGAGGAACGCCGGUGGCGAAAGCGGCUCUCUGGACCGUUACUGACGCUGAGGUGCGAAAGCUAGGGGAGCAAACAGGAUUAGAUACCCUGGUAGUCCUAGCCGUAAACGAUGGGUACUAAGUGGGGGGGCUCCCAAGGCCUCCCUGCCGUAGCAAAUGUGUUAAGUACCCCGCCUGGGGAGUAUGGUCGCAAGGCUAAAACUCAAAGUAAUUGACGGGGGCUCACACAAGCGGUGGAGCAUGUUGUUUAAUUCGAUGCAACGCGAAGAACCUUACCUGGGCUUGACAUUCAUGUGGUACCAAACCGAAAGGGGCGGGACCGUCUUUUGGCGGAGCAUGAACAGGUAUUGCAUGGCUGUCGUCAGCUCGUGUCGUGAGAUGUUGGGUUAAGUCCCGUAACGAGCGCAACCCUUAUCCUUAGUUGCCAGCGAGUAAUGUCGGGGACUCUAAGGAGACUGCCGGUGUCAAACCGGAGGAAGGCGGGGACGACGUCAAGUCAUCAUGGUCCUUACGCCCAGGGCCACAAACGUGCUACAAUGGUCGGUACAAAGGGCAGCAAACCCGUGAGGGUAAGCAAAUCCCAAAAAGCCGGCCCCAGUUCGGAUUGAAGGCUGCAAUUCGCCUUCAUGAAGUCGGAAUCGCUAGUAAUCGCAGAUCAGCCAUGCUGCGGUGAAUGUGUUCCUGAGCCUUGUACACACCGCCCGUCAAGCCACCCAAAUGGUCCGCACCCGUAGUCGCUACCCUAACCGUAAGGAGGGGGGCGCCGAAGGUGAGGGUCGUGAGGGGGACUAAGUCGUAACAAGGUAGCCGUAGGGGAACCUGCGGCUGGAUCACCUCCUUUCUAAGG